GCCGGGUGCAGUGGCGCGUGCCUGUAGUCCCAGCUAUUCAGGAGGCUGAGGUUGGAGGAUCUCUUGAGUCCAGGAGUUCUGGGCUGUAAUGCGCUAUGCCGAUCCAGUGUCCGCACUAAGUUCAGCAUCAAUAUGGUGACCUCCUGGGAGCGGGGGACGACCAGGUUGCCUAAGGAGGGGUGAACUGGCCCAGGUCGGAAACAGAGCAGGUCAAAACUCCCGUGCUGAUCAGUAGUGGGAUUGCAGCUGUGAAUAGCCACUGCACUCCAGCCUGGGCAACAUAGCAACACUGUCUCU
rnacentral:SRP_RNA from 1 species